AACAAGAACAAGAACAACAACAACAACAACAACAACAACAACAAGAAGGAUGUCUCUCUGAGAGACAGGACUCAAAACAAGCAGGAGCUGUCAUCAGCCAAAAUGGAGGAGUCUACAAAAUGGUGUGACUCUGGCUAACAAAAAGAAACUACAAGUGUUAACACUCAUAAAAUGAUGACAUUUUGAACUGCACAAAAAUGGGAACCCAAAGACAUGCAAGAGCACUGUGAGAGGACAGACACUGACAGGGUCGAAAUGGAUUUGUUCCCCUGAGUGCAACGCAUUCUGUUCCCAGUGAUCAUAAGGAUGGGAAUCGCUCUGCUGCGUAGCGGCCUGCUCCCGUGAUGGGCUGAAAGAAAGGCCUGAAGAUUUGAAGCAGGAUACAUUUUCUGCCUAAGUUAUUCUUGUCAGGUCUGUUGUUACAGUGAAUAGAACAACUAACUGGAGAUUUUAUUUUGAGAUUAUAAUGUAAAUACAUUUCUCCUUUUCCUUUCCUUCCUUUAAACCCUCCCAUAUACCCCCGCUUCCUGCUGUCCACAAAAUUCAUGGCCUCUUUUCUCAUGAAUUCUAACUGUGCAUUUUGACAGGUUUUCUGACUUUAAAGGCAGGUCAUAAAAUUCAAUCCUUUUACUCUGUGAUUGCCCACAUCCUCCAACGUUAUUUAAAAAUAUUUUUAAAAACCCAUGUAUUUAUUUAAUAAAGCAAUGUGCAAGCACUUUA